rnacentral:rRNA from 1 species
UACGUAGGGGGCAAGCGUUGUCCGGAUUUAUUGGGCGUAAAGAGCGUGUAGGCGGCUUGGUAGGUCCGCUGUGAAAACUCGAGGCUCAACCUCGAGAUGUCGGCGGAAACCACUUGGCUAGAGUCCGGAAGAGGAGAGUGGAAUUCCCGGUGUAGCGGUGAAAUGCGUAGAUAUCAGGAGGAACACCUGCGGUGUAGACGGCUUACUGGACCAUAACUGACGCUGAGGCACGAAAGCGUGGGUAGCAAACAGG